rnacentral:rRNA from 1 species
AGUGAACGCUGGCGAUAGGCCUAACACAUGCAAGUCGAACGGCAGCACAGUAAGAGCUUGCUCUUACGGGUGGCGAGUGGCGGACGGGUGAGGAAUACAUCGGAAUCUACUUUUUCGUGGGGGAUAACGUAGGGAAACUUACGCUAAUACCGCAUACGACCUACGGGUGAAAGCAGGGGAUCUUCGGACCUUGCGCGAUUGAAUGAGCCGAUGUCGGAUUAGCUAGUUGGCGGGGUAAAGGCCCACCAAGGCGACGAUCCGUAGCUGGUCUGAGAGGAUGAUCAGCCACACUGGAACUGAGACACGGUCCAGACUCCUACGGGAGGCAGCAGUGGGGAAUAUUGGACAAUGGGCGCAAGCCUGAUCCAGCCAUACCGCGUGGGUGAAGAAGGCCUUCGGGUUGUAAAGCCCUUUUGUUGGGAAAGAAAAGCAGCAGGUUAAUACCCCGCUGUUCUGACGGUACCCAAGGAAUAAGCACCGGCUAACUUCGUG